rnacentral:antisense_RNA from 1 species
CAUAGUUAAAUAUUGCACCUGGAUUUAAGGUUGGAUUAGGUACAAGACGAACAUCUCCACCGCCAGGUGCCCAUGUAUCGUAUAUACCUCCAAAGAACAUCGCCUUGGCUACAAGUAAAAAUGCCCCAAUUCCAAGCAAUACUAAGUGUAUCCCUAAAAUCGUUGUCAUUUUAUUCUUAUCACGCCA